AGUUUCCUUGCUGAGCACAAGACCGUGGACAGUGGUUACGAGGCCCACCCUCCCCUAUUAAAUUUACAGUGACCACGCGAGCGCCCCUCCUGUACCUCAGGAAGUGGUGGUGCAGCUCCUUUAGGUGACUGUCAAAAUAAUCCCACUCGCUGCAGUGGAGCCGGUUCAGCUGCUCGAGCUGGUCCCUGCGCUCCUUCAUGUUGCUCAGGGCCAGGCUGAUGACCUCAGUGUAGGUCGGGGUGGAUUCAGGGAUGCACUUGGUCCUUUCCCUUCUGGUUAUCAACACAUCCCAGCCAUGCUGGGGCAGCCCGGAAUAGUUCUGGAGGAAGUAUGAGAUCAGAGGGCUCUUUCCAUAGAUGUUGAAGAGGUUUGAAGUCAGCGGAGGGCUUUUGCAGGCUGGUUGAGACUGAGGCGGAAAGAAAGAGGGGAAAAAAAAGUGUUGCCAUAUUUAUAUUAAGAAACUUAAAGGCAUCCAUCCAUGUCCUUUGAUCCAUUUUCUCCAGUUUUAGGAUGCAACCUAAGGAAAUUAUCAAAAUCAAGAAAAGAACGUUAGGCACAAAGAUGUCUACUACAGGAUAUUUACUAAACACAGGAAUUGAUUUUAGAAGAAGCUAAUAUCCAGGAAAAGAUACUGAUAUCUUUACUCAAAGCACCAGAAGACCACUAUUGAGAUGUUCAUGAGGCUGGGGGUGUAGCUCAGGUCAGAGUACUUGCCUAGCACAGUAAGGUCCUGGGUUCAAUCGCCAACACAGACAAGAAAAAGUUUAUGAAGAGUUGAUAGCUUUAAAGAAAAGUUUCAGGAGCUGGGCAUGGUGGCGCAUGCCUGUAAUCCCAGCACUCGGAAGGCUAAGGCAGGAGGAUCACUAUGAGUUCAAGACCAGCCUAGGUUACAUACUGAAUUCCAGGUCAGUCUCAACUACAUAGUGGGACCCUG
rnacentral:lncRNA from 1 species